GCCCUUGUCGCUCGAUGGUCGAGCGCCCUGCUUCGUAUCCAGGGUCUCCCCGGUUCGAUUCCGGGCGAGGGCU
rnacentral:tRNA from 1 species